rnacentral:rRNA from 1 species
UGCAAGUCGAGCGGAAGGCCCCUUCGGGGGUACUCGAGCGGCGAACGGGUGAGUAACACGUGAGCAACCUGCCCCUGACUCUGGGAUAAGCCCGGGAAACUGGGUCUAAUACCGGAUGUUACCGGCUCCUGCAUGGGGGUUGGUGGAAAGUUUUUCGGUUGGGGAUGGGCUCGCGGCCUAUCAGCUUGUUGGUGGGGUGAUGGCCUACCAAGGCGACGACGGGUAACCGGCCUGAGAGGGCGACCGGUCACACUGGGACUGAGACACGGCCCAGACUCCUACGGGAGGCAGCAGUGGGGAAUAUUGCGCAAUGGGCGGAAGCCUGACGCAGCGACGCCGCGUGGGGGAUGACGGCCUUCGGGUUGUAAACCUCUUUCAGCAGGGACGAAGGGUGACUGACGGUACCUGCAGAAGAAGCGCCGGCUAACUACGUGCCAGCAGCCGCGGUAAUACGUAGGGCGCAAGCGUUGUCCGGAAUUAUUGGGCGUAAAGAGCUCGUAGGCGGUUUGUCGCGUCUGUCGUGAAAGCCCACGGCUUAACCGUGGGUCUGCGGUGGAUACGGGCAGACUAGAGGCAGGUAGGGGAGAAUGGAAUUCCCGGUGUAGCGGUGAAAUGCGCAGAUAUCGGGAGGAACACCGGUGGCGAAGGCGGUUCUCUGGG